ACUAAAAUGGAUAUUCUUGAAGAAUUUUUGUUUGGGGACGAAAUUAGCAAAUGCCGUUAUACAUUUAGCGGAUGUACCUACCUCAAAUUAUUCCAGAAGGAUGAGAUGAAAUAAUAAUAAGGAAUUAAAAUUAUUUUAAAUAUAUAUAAACCAUAAUUCAAUAUCCAAUUUAGAGAACAUUUUCGUAUGUCCAGAACUACUUUCCAGGAACUAUUUAAUUGUAUUGGCAUAUCCACCAAUUUGAAAACAGAAUAAUUCUAUUGGAAAAAAAAUUAAUGUUUAGGAUUUGGAUGCUAAGUAAACCAGAGAAUUUGUUGCUGGGGAUAGGUUUGGUUUGCCAAAGAGCUCCAGGACAUAAGAUUUUCACCCAAAUAAUAUAGAAUUACAAAAAAUUGGAAAUAACUAAUCUUGAAUAUCAAUGUGUAUAUUGAGUUUAAUUUUAUUGUAAAUAUUCUAUAAUAUAAUUUUAUUGUAAAUAUUGUAUUAACACAUUUGUGGAAACAUCUUCAUAUGCAGACAGUAAUUUCCCUUUGUAAGUACAUGCAUAUAUAGUCGUAUCUGCGAAUGGGUUAAUUGUAAAUCGUAAUCAAUAAAAAUUUUGUGUUAAUCAAUAAAAAA
rnacentral:lncRNA from 1 species